UACGUAGGUGGCGAGCGUUGUCCGGAUUUACUGGGCGUAAAGGGAGCGUAGGCGGAUUUUUAAGUGAGAUGUGAAAUACUCGGGCUCAACUUGAGUGCUGCAUUUCAAACUGGAAGCCUAGAGUGCAGGAGAGGAGAAUGGAAUUCCUAGUGUAGCGGUGAAAUGCGUAGAGAUUAGGAAGAACACCAGUGGCGAAGGCGAUUCUCUGGACUGUAACUGACGCUGAGGCUCGAAAGCGUGGGGAGCAAACAGG
rnacentral:rRNA from 1 species